CAAGCAGGCAGGGCUGGGUCCUGAGAGGAAGAGGCAGAGCAGGAAACAGUGAAGACGGGCCCGCGUUUAAACAGUCUGUUAGCAGUUUCAGCCAGGCAGAGGUGGCAGUUUAGAGGUCCUUAUGUUAAGCUAGGAGAGAACUGCCAGGUGUGGAGAUACGCACCUGCAAUCCCGUCACUCGGGAGGCUGAGUGCGAGCACCACUAGCUCCUGCAGAGGUGACGUGUGGAGCGGUGAGAGUGCAGAGCCUGCAGCCCUCGCCGGCAUCCAGCCGGGCUUCCUGGCAGACGGUGCACUCCGGCUGAGGUCCAGAGCGGGCGCUGUGUCAGUGACUUCUGAUACGUGCAGGAGAGAGCUAGCAGAAGUGGUUGAGGCUCAGAGAUAACCGAAAUGGCGUCCACUCCUGUGGAAAUUUCGCCUCCCCUUCGAGUCUGUUUAGACUUCCUCACACCAAGGUUAGAGCCGUGGUGGCGAACCUCUGGCACGCGUGCCACAGCAGGCUCCUUGUAGUGUUGAAAGCUCUGAAGGCUCCGCCAUCCCUGGAUUAGAGUUGUUCACGAGGGAUUUGGCCUUCCGUGCCCGCCUGUGCCAGCAGCCCCUCACCACACCUCCCAGAGGGCUUUGAUGGAGAGCGGCUCAAGACUAGAUAUGCAGAAAGUUGUUUCUGAUGAAGACUGGCUCAGCCGACCAGGGGCAUUCAAUUUUGAUAAGCAGUCAGCCUUCAAGGAUUAUUUGAAAAUUCUUGAGAAAAAAGGAGCACAUGAUUUCAGCCAGGAGAUUGGGGUGUGGAAUCUGCUGCCAGCCAACCGCGGCUCCGUCUCCGGUCAAGUGGAUGCGCUGUGUGUGUGAAAAGCCGCUCUGCUGCUCCUGCGGCCAGAGGCGGCUCGUGCUCUCCGAGGGUUGCACGGCCACUUUCGGCUGGCUACCUGCUGGGUAGUGCAGAGGAAGGCGCACACCGGCGCACAUUCACUGCUGCUGCUUUUGGAGGGCAUUGUUGUUUUUCAUUGGAGAGCAUUUCUUAUUGUAAAUGAUUGAUGCUUGCACCGUCUUGAAAACUUUUUGGAACAAACCUUACCCAUUUGACUAGGGUUUUAGCAAGCACAUUUUCUUGUGACUGGACGCGAGGUCUUUCUGGUCACAUCUUGGCAUCUGUGUUACUGGAUAGAGAUACAGAAUAUUUUAGCAACCUGUUUUAUGCCUUUCCCCUGCAAGGAUAAUACAAAUUACCGUCAUCUUGUAACAUUUUAACUAUAGUGACACAAAUGAGACAGCCUGUUACGGCAUGAUUCAGACAAAGGAAAGCCCUCCCACGUGAAUUCUGCUGAGGAGACUGGACUAGACUAGCGGUGCGAAACGGAAAACUUUACCUUAAAGCUCGGUUACUUACGUGGUCUCCCUGGAGCCUUACUGUGUUGAGGUAAUGUCGCCCUGGUAUUAUUUAUCCACGAAUCCUUCCAGUUCAGAGCAAGGAGAUCAGUUCCUUUGGAUCACUCAGAUUGGGAUGGGGCAGCUCUGACUCUAAGGUUACAGGCCUGCUGGAUAAAACUGUGCAUCAAAGUAACAAAACCAAAUUCUAAAGAUAAAUUUCUAGGCAGCGGCUUUUGAUACUCAUUUGCCACUAAAGUCAACGUUGUUGGCGUGUUAUAAAAAGGUACUGCCUAUUAAUCACUGGGAAAGUUGAUCAAGAGACUAUAAUAACCACUAAACAUCCAUAUUCAUAUAUCCAUAUACAUAUGUAAACAUAUGUUCGUAUACAUAUGUAAGUAUAUAUAUGUACGUACAGAAAUAUAAAUAUACAUAUUCAUAUAUCCAUAUGAAGUGGGUUCAUGAACAAUAUAGGAAUCCAAGCAGCCAAGCUGAUGAAUUUGGAAUUUUAUUAGCUGAGCUCGGGACCACUUGCAUAGAGACCCCUGUUUCAGAGUCCCAUUGAGUAGCCCUGAACUGGAAAGUUACAGAGCAUUUAAAACAGAAAACCACAAAAAAACAUCCUGUUGGAAACAAUUUAGCUGGGAACCUACAUUAAUUUUGGCUGACACCUGUAUCCUGCUGCUUUGUUGAGCAGGUUAAUUUUUCUCUUGUGGGUGCAGCUCGUUCUGCUUUUCUCAUGGGACUUGUUCCCUGAGUAAUUUCUCUUCUGGGUCAAAUGCAGGGCACAAGAUGGUGUCAGUUAUGCCAAGCUACAACACAUAUACACAUGUAAACAUAUAGAUGCACUUCGCACACAUACAUGAAAUGUUAAGAUUUAUGAAAAGAAUUUUUAUUUAGAUUAUCCAGCUAGGAUGUAAGGAAAUUUGAGAUUGAUAGAUACUUCUCAGUUAACUUAAACCUUCAGUUAACCAUACUGUGAUCAUUUAUCCUCCGAUAUUUUAAAACUAUAUCCACAUAAAUCAUUUCCUACAUAAAUGUUUAAAGUCAAAUAUUUGUUCUUUUUGGAAACUUUCCUAUGUGACUGAAAACUACAGAUGUGUUCUCUGAAAGUGGAUAUUGGUUUUCAGUUACUUAGCAGUGUGUUGUUUUUCAUGUGUACGCUUGCAGGAACAGUCUAUUAUUUUAUCUGUGAGAUUAUUCCCAAAGACCUUGGGAAUUUCUGGCUUUGGAGUAGAGAAGACUUCUGUCGUCUCCCAUUGUAAUUAUCAAGUGGCUGGGAGUCUGAGAAGCACCCAGGGCCUUGGGGCUGUAUACAGUGUGCAUUGGUGCAUUGCUUGGUGCACUGAUUAAUUCCUUUCCUAAAAUCUCCCCUCACGCAGCAUUGUUCAGUGUGGGGUGAAUAGUGCCAACUCUUGAUCUUUCUGGGCGGUAACGUAAUACACUCCCAUGUUUUCCAGCGGAGUGAAGGUUACAGAAAACAGCCCUGCAGCUUGGCUGUUGGGUUAAAGGGAUUACAGAGGCACUAAAAGACUUACACUAGGCCUGUUAAGGUUUUAUUUGGGAAGGUGGUCAAAGGAAGCUGAGGAUUUCCAGGCCUUUAGCUGAAGGGAGUGGCAGAAUCUGGAGAUUGAUCACACAUUUGGGGGCAAAGCAAGCCCAGUCAGGGAACGGUGAGCGCCCCAGGCAAACCGCUGCUCCAGCUCCGAGAAUUUGAGGGUGAGAGGCAGUCGGUUGUUAGGUGAAGGGGUUUCACCUGACCUCAGCGUUCUAACUGUAUAAAUAAAGGCAGUGAGUGGUUGAGCAGGUCCUUUCCUCCCACCGCGGGCUCCACUUGACCACAGGUUUCUGUAUAAUUUGUCUCUUCUUCGUCCUCUCGCCGCUCGUCCCCGAGGGCAGUGCUGACCGCAGCAAACAGGGACUGGGGUGAGGGGACAGAUCUCAUGGUGCAGGAAAAGAGGAGAGAGGUGCGUGGGUAGGAGUGUCCUGAUGCUGACAUCGUCAGGGGCUAAACUUGGGGCAAAGAAAAAAACGGGUUCACUAGGGCCAGAAGAAAGAAGCAAGCUGUGAGACCCUACAGGGAAAGGGGUGCACUGGUCUUACCCGUGGUCCAGCAAGAGGCAAACAGAGACUCAAGAAGAACAAAUGUAUAUGAAUCUUUUUUAUAUUCUUGAUUCCUCUGUUUUCUUUCUUUCUUUGGGUUUGGGUUAGGGGGGUCUUAAUGGCUCUAAGUUUGUUGGCAUGACCGCAGAGGAUUUGGCAUGGGGCGCUAUUUUAAAACCAAGCCCCCAGUGGACAGACAGCAGAACAGCCACCCUGAUAACUUUAAUUGAAUCGCAAAUGACAAUUCCCACCUUCCCAGUUCAGCGAUAUUUUGCUACGUUACAGGCUGAGUUUUCCACCCUUCAUAAAAUAUGGUCCUCCUUUAAGUUAAUUGCUCAACAGUUGGCCUUUGAAAAUGCAAACAAAUGGGGUAAAGAGGCUUUACAAGCCCAAACAAUGGGCUACAUUGUCUGAGUCUAUUCAGAAUACUGGCCCUUUCUCUGUACAGAGGGCUGCCUUGGCGACAGCUGCCACUCAGGGUAUUUGUCCACAACCUGGAGGAAAGGGAAGAAACAGGGUUAUGUGUUUCAGCUGCAGAUGUGAAGGACAUUUUGCCCGAGACUGCUCUGCUGCACCUGUACAGGUAGCACAGUCAUCAUCUGUCACUUCAGCAAAACCUGUUAGUACCUAUAGCAAGUGCUGCUGCGGGUAUCACUGGGAAAAUGAAUGUGAAUCCAGACCUGCCACGGAAGCCUGACCCAUUCUAGGAGGCUCCCCAUAUGGACCUGCCAGGCCCUGCUCACAGAGGGGGGCUGUGGCUCAGGGAGCUUCUCCAAAUGGUACAGCCCACUCAGUGUGGCGGGCCCUCGUGGGGAGGUGUGGGCCUGAUUUGUAGUUUGCUGAUUUUUAUUUAAAAAUUCUCUCACAGUGAGCAAUUUCAACAACAACCAACCCGUAAAACUUUGGAAAAUUCAACGUUUGACUUUCCUGGGCUGAUUAUAGGCUGGCUCCAGCCUAUCACUGUCUCACUGACUUUGCAGUGAGUCUUGAUAUAUGGUAAUGUAAAUUCUGUUGCUUUUCAAAAUUGUUAUUUACUUCAAACUUAUGAUCAAUAUAACUCUACACUUAUCUAGAUCUUUUAUUUUCUUAUAUCAAUUUUUUUAGUUUUGAAUACACUAACACUGCACAUACUUUAUUAGUCAUAUAUAGUAUGGCUUUUGUGCUGUUAUAAAUCUUUCAUAAAUUCCUGAAAAAGUAAAGAAAAGCUACGAAGGGUCCUUUGGGAAAUCCCCCUACUGGACAGUGGGAAGGACCCAACCUGCUGCUUUUCUGGGGUAGAGGCUGUGCUUGUGUCUUUCCAGAGAAUGCUGACCAACCCAUCUGGGUGUCAGAGCAUGCUGUCCAGCUGUGUCCUGAGCCCAGGAGUUGAUCCUGCCUUUCAGGCAGCUGAUGCUCAGUCUUAUGGUAGUGAUGGCUCAGAGACCACACCACAACCGAUAAACAGGGAUGGGGUAGACCCAACCUGAGGCCAGUUAAAGAAAUUGACCCAGGAUUCCCAGGAGCUGGUAACCAAAAGUGGGAAUUGAAGGUCUAAAUAGGUGAUAAGGGUAUAUAAAGGUAACUGAACAAAAAGUUACAUGAAAGAGGGGGACAUGAAAGUUACUAGUAUUCUUAAUGCAAAAUAAAAUACAAAACUAUAGAUAAAACAUUUUGUUCCUUCCAAAUUCUUAAGAGAUCUCUAUUAACCUACAGCAAAAUCUGACUACUCUGUGUAUAGUUUGAAGCUUCUAAAAUUGUAAAAGGCUAUUAUAAUCCAAUUUAUUCAAAAAUACUUUUGAGUGCUUUCUGAUUUUUUUGUAAGGUGUUUGUUACUCAUCUGUGAUGCUCUGUUGUAAUAUCCAUCAACAGCAGAUUUUUAUUUGAGCUCAACAAUGUUUACUUUUUCUUUUGCAUUUUUGGGUCAUUUGUUCAUAAUUUGGGUUAUAGAUUUAAAAAGUGUGCUUCCACCUGGGGGGCCAGCUGGCCAAGAUAAUAUCAAACUGGGUUUGCUCAGAGGUCAACAGAAAUUUGCUAAGGGAACUAAGGGAACCUUUUGGGCUUGGAGCCCUUGGUCAAUGCUUCCUUUGGUGAAUAAAGGAAGUUAGCCUAGCCUUUUUUUUUUUCAUUAAUGGGAAGCCCCAUUGUUCUCCAUAAUCUUAUGGGAGACGUCCCAAUUAAUGUUAUUAAAAAUAUAUUAUUGUGAAAAUUACAUAUAUUACUGUCUUUUUUUUUUUUUUUUUUUGUCUUUUUUGAGGGGUCUCGCUAUGCAGUUCAGGCUGGCCUUGAGCUCACUGUGUAGCCCAGGCUGGUGUCGAACUCGCACGACCCUCCCACCUCAGCCUUCCGAGUGCUGGGAUUACAGGCGUGAGCCACCAGGCCCGGCUUACUGUCAUAUGUUUACAUUGAUCAUCAACAAAAGCAUUAUGUACGUUUCUGGGCAGUGAGGUUCUGAUUUGAAUAUGCUCUGGUGCAGAGGCUUUUAUAUGGCUGUGAUGCCUGUCAUUAACCUCAUGGUGCACUGAGUGUGCUCAGGCCUGCAGAUGUACGGGUCCUCCAAAAUGCAAAACAGGGAUUGUUAUAGUGAUAGACUUUUCCUUCAUAUUCAACUCUGUCUGUACCAAAAAUUUGUGAGAUGUACAUGUCACUAAAGGUCAGCAAGUUAGGCAAAAGCUUCUUAUGGAUUAGAGAUAUUAAAAAGUUAUAUUAUGUUAAAAUGAAAACUUAAGGAUGUUACAAAAUGUCAGCAUGAUUGUUGUGCUACAAUUUCACGUGCGGUCUAAUUGUUAUCUUAAUCUUUAAGGAUUCAAAUUUUAGAAUAUCUGAUUGUUAUCUCAAUCUUUAAGGAUUCAAAUUUUAGAAUAUCUAUGAUUGUAAGAGAAUAGUGGUUUUGCUUUGUGUUCUAAGGUGCUUGAUAUUUAUACAUGAUGGUAAUGUUAAGCUUAUUGCAUUUAUUACACUAUUACACUGUACUGUUAGCAGUCUUUUCUUCUGGAUAUUCAACAAUUGAGUUUUGGAGACCAAAAUGAGAAAGAAAGAUAGAAAGAAAGAGAAGAGCCAGUAUUUUGGCUCUAGCCCGUCAAGGUCACACCUCUGCUGCACCUUCCCAUAGCUCGGCGAGUCCACGGUCUUCUGACCAAGGAGAUUGUAGGGCCGAGAGGGAAGUGAUCAACAGUAUAUAGUGUGCCUAAGGCGAGUCACCAGGAGAGAAAAAUCUCCCAAGCUUUCACAGAAAGCGACCUGGUCAGGCAGUGGCUGUGCCUCAUCCAGAUGGCUGACGCUGACAGAACUGAGAGCUGCUGUGCGUGGUUCCAAGGCCUUUCCUGAGCAGACCUGACUGACUUCAUAGACAGCAAGAAGUUAAUUUUAACUAAUACAGGUCUCACUUUAACUUGGUCUUGGAUAUGCAGCAGAAAACUAUGACCAUACCCCCCUCCAUCCCCGUAAAAGUCCUCUGAACACUGCUCCCCCAGCUUCAACUGACCACCCAUUACUUCAACUACAAGACAGAAAGGGGAGAGGUGUACUGAACAGCUGGUGCGGGAGGCUGAUCACGCGUGUGGGAGCAAAGCCAGGCUGGUAGGGGGCCAGUGAGUGCCUCAGGCCAGCAGUGCUCCAGCCCCAGAAUACGGAGGUGAAGGUGAGCUGAAGGGUUUCACCCGACAGCAGCUUUCUACAUGCGUGAAUAGAUGCACAGUGGUGGCUGGGCAGGUCCUUUCCUCCGUUCAGGGAGAGGCUCCACCGGCCUCAGCUGUCUGUCUCAUUUCCAGCUUCUCCAUCCUCUCGGCCCUCUCACCCAGGAACGCGAAGCCCUGGGUGCAGCAGUGAGCCCUGUUCUGAGCGGCACUGGGACAGUAAAUGGCAGCUCUGUAUCUUGGCUCCCUCGCAGGCAUUCUCAGUUCAGAUCUUCAUCCAUGUUCUUUAGCUGCCAUCUGUGACCCUGGCUUGCAUUUGAAUAACUCAGUCUAAAAGAGUCCAAUUAGGAUGAAUUAACUUGUGAUGUCAAUUUGCUUCCAUUCGCCAUGUUGCCAGGGGACCCUGGGAACUGUGAAGGAGUAUCUGCCUUCCUAGAGCAACCAGACAAGGAACGUCACUUGGGUGGGCAGAGUCCCCCGUCUGCAGCACAUCGACGCCCAGCUGAACAGUCCAGAACUAAAAUAGAUGCUCGUGGGGAAAGUCCAAGAGGAAAUGUUUGGCUGGUUGACUUCUUUCCUAUCCCGCCCUAACACUUGACACAUUACUCAGUCUGCUUUGUUAAAAGUAGGUAUUACAUUUUAUUUGCCUCUUCCUUUUAAACUAACCAGUAAACUUUGAUACAAGCAUUGUUAUGUAAUCCUGAGUCACUGGUGGUAUCUCUUACACCAGAUGUGCGGUGCAGGCUAGGAUCUGGGAGAGCUCUCCCUUCCCGGUUCCCUUAAAUGCUUCCUUCCAUUGCUGCUCCACUGUUGCUGAACACAGUUGGAUUUGGAGCUGGAACCUAUGACAACCAAGUUCAUAGUUCUGUCAUGAAAAUUUCCAUAUUCUAGUUCUGAAAAGAUAAAAGAUUCUGGCCCUUAUUACAGUCAUCCUAUUGAAGGACUCACUUCAUAGAAUUAUGGUGGUAUUUUGGUCGAUUAGUUUUGUACCCAGUCAUAUCUAAUUUAGAGCUCUGAAGCCAUUUCCUGUGUGUCUUUGUACAGUAUGAUUUGGUAGAAAAUAGAAUAUUUUAUGUAUUGAGAAGUUACUGGAACUGGGGGUGUAGCUCAGUGUCAUAAGCACCUACCUGGCAAGCAUAAGGUCGUGGGUUUGAUCCCCAGUAGCAAAAAAGAACAGAAAACUUACUAAUAGUAAUUUAUCUAAAUUUUAAAGGGCUUAUUUUAUUCCUUUGACUAUACAAAUAGUUGAAUUGGCUGAAUUAAAAUUGAUAAUUCUCAUUUUAAAAAUAAUUAUAUGCCAGAAACACAUUGUGUAUUAAAUAAAAUUGAUGGUUCUGGCUAUUUGCACGGUGUGUCCUGGAGAUGGUGCAGUAGUCCCUAAUGCCAGCACUCUAGGGGAGGCAGGAGAACUGCGAGUUUAACAGCUGUGUCACUUGAUUUUUAUUGUUACUUUAAGAGUAGUAUAAUGUGUAAUAUCCUAAGGAAGAUGCAUGCUGUUAUUUAAAUGAAACUGUUCACUGUAUUGUCUGAAUUAUUUUUGUUUACUGGCCCUUGGGAUGUUGUAAAGAAAACUUCUUCAGGUCUUGAUGUUAAACAUGUCCUUCCUUUAUUGCAGUUGUAUUUUGUAGCUUGAUAGUUUUUAAUUUUCCAAUGAAAUUAAAUAAAUAUGGAAAUGCUGA